AUGGCAACGACUACGGCGUGCCCUCUAUGCGGAGCUCAGGAUACAUGGAAGCACGCGUUACUCGAGUGUCCGAUGUCUUGCUGCACUUGGGCAUUGUCUUCGGAAGUAGUGUUGGAUCAUCUCUGCAUCGUUCAACACGACAGUGCGAAAAGAUGGUUAUUUGCCCUUCAAGAGAGCCUCAAUGCUGAUGAUUUUAUCAGGCUGGUGGUCACUCUUUGGGCAAUCUGGGGAGCUAGAAGAAAAAAAGUCGCAGUGGCCAAUGCAACUACAACAAGGCCACGACGGUGGUUGCCGCCUGUGGAGAACCAUGCCAAGAUAAACACGGAUGCAGCAGUCGGAGGCCGUGGACGUUUUGGUGCAGUUGCAGCAAUCUGCCGAGAUGGAGAGGGAACAUUUGAAGGUGCGUCGGCAGUCGUAUACUGGACAAUUGGAGACCCAGCUACGCUUGAAGCCUUAGCCAUCAGAGAGGCCCUCUCCCUUACUGAUGAUCUAUACCUCCAGAGAAUUCACAUGGCUUCGGAUUGCAGGGAAGCAGUGGAGGAGAUUUUCAGCGAUGGUGCAUCGAUCUAUGGUGCAGUUAUACAAAAGAUUAAGUUGCAUGCAUUGUCUUUUAUUUCUUGUAAGAUACUUCAUGAGUUUAGGAGCUCAAACUUUGAUGCUCACAACCUUGCGAAAUAUGCGUUGGGUCUUGGGUCUCAGGCCUGGCCGCCAUGUUUAGUUAGGCCAGCCCGAGGGUAUUCCCUUCGUCCAUGUAAACAUUGUGACGAAUGA
rnacentral:rRNA from 1 species